rnacentral:rRNA from 1 species
GACGAACGCUGGCGGCGUGCCUAAUACAUGCAAGUAGGACGCUGAAGGAGGAGCUUGCUUCUCUGGAUGAGUUGCGAACGGGUGAGUAACGCGUAGGUAACCUGCCUGGUAGCGGGGGAUAACUAUUGGAAACGAUAGCUAAUACCGCAUAAUAGUAGAUGUUGCAUGACAUUUGCUUAAAAGGUGCAAUUGCAUCACUACCAGAUGGACCUGCGUUGUAUUAGCUAGUUGGUGGGGUAACGGCUCACCAAGGCGACGAUACAUAGCCGACCUGAGAGGGUGAUCGGCCACACUGGGACUGAGACACGGCCCAGACUCCUACGGGAGGCAGCAGUAGGGAAUCUUCGGCAAUGGACGGAAGUCUGACCGAGCAACGCCGCGUGAGUGAAGAAGGUUUUCGGAUCGUAAAGCUCUGUUGUAAGAGAAGAACGAGUGUGAGAGUGGAAAGUUCACACUGUGACGGUAUCUUACCAGAAAGGGACGGCUAGCUACGUG